GGAGAGAGAGGAAGCACUAAACCUAACCUGCCUGUUAGUUCUUUCGGAUACAGGUGCAUGUUGUAUCCUCCAAAAGUAACACAUUUUGGAGGACCUGACACGGGUGCAGAGAGUCCGAGCAACAUGUAAACAGGUCCCAUGUCUCACUGAAGUUAUCUUGCUAGAAAUUGACACAUUGACCGACUAUGUCCACAUUCGUCUAAAUGGCACAUUAAUAAUGACAAAUCUUCUUAGAUACAAGUCAAAGAAAUACCAAACUGCAUAAAGCACG
rnacentral:lncRNA from 1 species